AUAUAAAGGCGAGAGUCACAAAGACGAAGCCCAAAGCCCAAGAAAACCACCAAGAUGGCCAAGGCCACCCUGCAACCAAUCGCAUUGCUUCUGUUGGGUCUCCCCUUCCUGGUCUUUGCAGAAGAUGUUCCCGUCAUGAAAGACGUCGACGUCGGAAAGCUGGUCGGGAAGUGGUAUCCCGUGAAGAUCAUCAAGUCGGACGCUGAAAUGUUGCCGAUGCACGCCUACACUCUCGAGACCGCAGCCGAUGGAAGCAUCACAACAAACUUUGAGGUCCCUAAGAACGGGGCCUGCACCUCAGUCAAGCUAACGGGAGGCCAGACCAGCCCCGGGGUCUACACUUCCACAGACGGAACGGCCACCGUCAUGGACACAGACUACACGACCUAUCUCUUCACACAUUUAUCCAACGGCAAAGUGAGCCUCCUGUCACUCUAUGGCCGUGAUAAGAAAGUGCCUAAGGAAGUCAAGAAGAAGUUCAACGCCGUGACCAAAAAAGUGGGGAUGAAGCCGUCGCAUCGCUUUAAACCGCGGAAAGAAGAUUUCUGCACAAGCCCUCCGGCAUAGGCCCUAAAGGAACCCACGAGGCAGCCACGGCCUUGUUCCUCCAAAAGCGGGACUCGAACAUUGAGCGGAAUGUGACGACGCCGACAUCACCACCAAGUCCCAACAAUAAAGGAAUCAUGAAACUCUAAAA